rnacentral:rRNA from 1 species
AAAUUGAAGAGUUUGAUCAUGGCUCAGAUUGAACGCUGGCGGCAGGCCUAACACAUGCAAGUCGAACGGUAACAGGAAGCAGCUUGCUGCUUUGCUGACGAGUGGCGGACGGGUGAGUAAUGUCUGGGAAACUGCCUGAUGGAGGGGGAUAACUACUGGAAACGGUGGCUAAUACCGCAUAACGUCGCAAGACCAAAGAGGGGGACCUUCGGGCCUCUUGCCAUCAGAUGUGCCCAGAUGGGAUUAGCUUGUUGGUGAGGUAACGGCUCACCAAGGCGACGAUCCCUAGCUGGUCUGAGAGGAUGACCAGCCACACUGGAACUGAGACACGGUCCAGACUCCUACGGGAGGCAGCAGGUGGGGAAUAUUGCACAAUGGGCGCAAGCCUGAUGCAGCCAUGCCGCGUGUAUGAAGAGCCUUCGGGUUGUAAAGUUACUUUCGAGCGGGGAGGAAGGUGUUGUGGUUAAUAACCACAGCAAUUGACGUUACCCGCAGA